rnacentral:rRNA from 1 species
UACAGAGGGGGCAAGCGUUGUUCGGAAUUACUGGGCGUAAAGGGCGCGUAGGCGGCCCGCUAAGUCAGACGUGAAAUCCCUCGGCUUAACCGGGGAACUGCGUCUGAUACUGGAUGGCUUGAGUUCGGGAGAGGGAUGCGGAAUUCCAGGUGUAGCGGUGAAAUGCGUAGAUAUCUGGAGGAACACCGGUGGCGAAGGCGGCAUCCUGGACCGAUACUGACGCUGAGGAGCGAAAGCCAGGGGAGCAAACGGG